rnacentral:rRNA from 1 species
UAACGUCCCAGUUCGGAUUGUAGUCUGCAACCCGACUACAUGAAGCUGGAAUCGCUAGUAAUCGCGGAUCAGAAUGCCGCGGUGAAUACGUUCCCGGGUCUUGUACACACCGCCCGUCACACCAUGGGAGUCGGAAAUGCCCGAAGUCAGUGACCCAACCGUAAGGAGGGAGCUGCCGAAGGUGGAGCCGGUAACUGGGGUGAAGUCGUAACAAGGUACC